rnacentral:misc_RNA from 1 species
UACGGGAGGCAGCAGUGGGGAAUUCUUGGACAAUGGGGAAACCCCGAUCCAGCCAGUCCCGCGUGUGCGAGAAGGCCUUCGGGUUGUAAAGCACUUUUGGCAGGAAAGAAACGGCAUUACCCCGUGCAACUGACGGUACCUGCAGAAUAAGCACCGGCUAACUACGCCAGCAGCCGCGGUAAUACGUAGGGUGCAAGCGUUAAUCGGAAUUACUGGGCGUAAAGCGUGCGCAGGCGGUUCGGAAAGAAAGAUGUGAAAUCCCAGAGCUUAACUUUGGAACUGCAUUUUUAACCACGAGCUAGAGUGUCAGAGGGAGGUGGAAUUCCGCGUGUAGCAGUGAAAUGCGUAGAUAUGCGGAGGAACACCGAUGGCGAAGGCAGCUUCCUGGGAUAACACUGACGCUCAUGCACGAAAGCGUGGGAGCAAACAGGAUUAGAUACCCCCGUAGU